UAGGAUAGGAUAAGCAUGGUUCGCAUCGCACUCCUUUGGCUUUGGGCGUUCCUCCUGUUCCACGUGUAGCACCGUCGUGUGCCUCCCCUCCACGAUCGAAAUAGACCCGCCGGCAGCGCGGGUGCUACUCCCCUAGGGCUUGUCCAGUAGUGCAAGCGUGGGCUCGAGCCUCGUGCUCUGUCCCUCCCAGUCUCUCCGGCAAUUGGCAAAGAAUCCUCUCGCUUCCGCGGCACCCCAUUGGCAAGACUUGGAGCCGUGCGGCCGCGGACAGGCAAAAUCUUGGCGUGGGGAGUACGAAGAAUCGGAGCUUGCUUGGCAUCGUCAUGGAGGAUCCAUCCAACCCGAUCUGGGCGGCAACUGCCAGUGCCAGACAUGGAGGAACCAUCCAACCACCAUGCCCGAUGGAUCCGCAGCAGAAAGUCCGCAUCCCCGCAGAGAUCUCGUGAAUCCGAGCAUGAAGUCUCUCACAGAAACGAAGCUCCUUUCCAGAGCAAACCUCCCUAUUGGUCACACUAUGUGCAGCUAUGGUCAACGUUCUCAGGAGCUACCUGACUGGAGAUGGAGAGAUUUUGUAUGAUAUUCCCGUGCCAUCCUUUAGUUCAGCUCAUGUUUCAAUUAAAAUCUCUUCAUGCUUGCCGAUGUUCAUGUAACGACUUUACAUUUUAGUGACUACGAUUCAUGUAGGUUCUGUUGCAUGCACCAUUACCAUGCCUUGGGAGUACUACCUCCGUCCGGGUUUAUUAGGUCCGAGUAGUGAGAAGUAGUGUUGUAACGAGGUAUAUGUAAACUUAUGGUGGAGGCAUUCCUUGCCUUUCUUCUUUAAUAUAUAAUGUGCACAUUCGUGCAUAUUCGAGAAAAAUAAAUAUUUUGAGCCAAACUUUCAUCA